CUACGCUCGCCAACCCCCCAGUGUAGUUUUUGUAUGAUUUUUAUUUUCAAAAUUUUAUUCUAUAUAAAUUUUAUAGAUUAUAAAGAAAGAUUGAAUGUUUAUCGAAGUUGAGAAAAUAAAAGGCAAUUCUGUUUCUAAAGUCUUAGUUAUCAACGAUACUCCCUUAGAUCUGAUUGAUCUCUUACAAGGAUCUGAAAUUUUUAUUAAUGAGAAUAGCGACAACCAGGAUUAACUAAAAAUAUCACAUGUAUGUAAAUAAAAAUUAUACUAUGUUAUAUCGAUGGAGAUGUAAAAAAUGAUAGAAAAGAAAUUGAUUGAUUCUGCAAAAGUGACGGUAGUCACUAUCAACUAAUACCACGUGCACGGAGAAUAUGUACAACACGUCAGUGUUUAAAACGUGAACACUUGCAUAGUGAAAAAUCAAUAAUUGCUACAAUCAGUAUAUGCUUUCAACGUCCAGACGAAAAUGUUUUUACAUAGAGGAAUGCAUGGUACAAAAUUAAAACACCUGCUCAUUUUCUGCGGUCAAUAAAAAGUGUUUUUCUUCAAUUUGGCUUUAACUAACAUUUUGUUUUAUAUUACUUAUUACUGAAAGAUUGAUCAAUGUGUAUGUUUCUAUUUACAAUAAGAAGUGUCUAUAUUAUUUAGCAAAUUACGAGAAUCGUGAUAUUAAAAAAAAAUUAAAAAGUAUUUCUUAUACUUUAUAUAAAAAAAAACAAAAAAAUAUUAAAAUUGAAACAUGUACAACAGAUAAUAACGUAACUGAUGAUAAGUUUUUUGUUGAGCCUUUAAAUUAUGGUGAAAUGACUUAUGAAUGCAAGUAUUGUUCUGCUAAAUUUUGGAAAGAAGAAAAACAAAAAUCAAAUUGUUGUAAUGAUGGAAAAAUUUGUUUAGUUCCUUUAAGUGAAUAUGAUGCUAAUCUAAAAAAUCUUCUAUUACAUGAUGAAGAUUUUAGACAAUUAAUUAGAUAUUAUAACAACCUUCUUAGUUUUGCAUCUUUUACAAGUAAUGAAAUAGAGCAAAAAGGAAAAUCUGUUUACAAUAUUAAAAUACAAGGUCAAAUUUGUCAUGUAACUCCAAGUACUUUUAAAUUAGAUAAUAGGAAUACUCCAAAACAUAGUCAAUUUUAUAUAUAUGAUGAUCAGGAAGCUGUUGAACAAAGAUUAAAUUCUGAUAGAAAUAAAAAUUGAUUAAAUCACACAUCGAAACUUUGACGAAUGUUUUAAAAAAUAAUCCCAUAGCAAAACAUUAUAAACACUUGCACCAAAUUUCAAAUAUUUAAAAUCUACCAAAUUACAAAAUGAUUUUUUUACGAAAAGACGGAAAAGAGAAACAUGUAUAUAACAAACCAGUGACCGCUGAGUGUGGUGCAAUUAUUGUUUCAGGUUCUGGUUUGCCAGAAAAUUACGAUCUUUGUAUAUAUGCUAAAGAAUUACCAGAAAAUCAUCCACAAAAUACAUACCCUAGUGGAAAUAAUUGGGUGUGCCAAAGUGUGCCAAAGUAUGCUAAAGUGUGUUAAAGUGUGCCAAAGUGUGCCAUACUGUGCCAAAGUGUGCCAAAAUGUUCAAAUUCGGAAAUUUGCUACACUUUGGCACACUUUGGCACACCACGGUACAGUGAGAUAUAUCCCGCCGCCCGCGCGCCAAAACAUUGCCACUGCAAAUUUUUUUGUUUUGAGAAAUAAAAUAAUAA
rnacentral:lncRNA from 1 species